rnacentral:rRNA from 1 species
AGCGAACGCUGGCGGCAGGCUUAACACAUGCAAGUCGAACGGGCGUAGCAAUACGUCAGUGGCAGACGGGUGAGUAACGCGUGGGAACGUACCUUUUGGUUCGGAACAACACAGGGAAACUUGUGCUAAUACCGAAUAAGCCCUUACGGGGAAAGAUUUAUCGCCGAAAGAUCGGCCCGCGUCUGAUUAGCUUGUUGGUGAGGUAACGGCUCACCAAGGCGACGAUCAGUAGCUGGUCUGAGAGGAUGAUCAGCCACAUUGGGACUGAGACACGGCCCAAACUCCUACGGGAGGCAGCAGUGGGGAAUAUUGGACAAUGGGCGCAAGCCUGAUCCAGCCAUGCCGCGUGA